AUUGAACGCUGGCGGCAGGCCUAACACAUGCAAGUCGAACGGUAGCACAGAGAGCUUGCUCUUGGGUGACGAGUGGCGGACGGGUGAGUAAUGUCUGGGAAACUGCCUGAUGGAGGGGGAUAACUACUGGAAACGGUAGCUAAUACCGCAUAACGUCGCAAGACCAAAGAGGGGGACCUUCGGGCCUCUUGCCAUCAGAUGUGCCCAGAUGGGAUUAGCUAGUAGGUGGGGUAAUGGCUCACCUAGGCGACGAGCCCUAGCUGGUCUGAGAGGAUGACCAGCCACACGGGAACUGAGACACAGUCCAUACUCCUACGGGAGGCAGCAGUGGGGAAUGUUGCACAAUGGGCGCAAGCCUGAUGCAGCCAUGCCGCGUGUAUGAAGAAGGCCUUCGGGUUGUAAAGUACUUUCAGCGAGGAGGAAGGUGGUGAGGUUAAUAACCUUAUCAAUUGACGUUACUCGCAGAAGAAGCACCGGCUAACUCCGUGCCAGCCGCCGCGGUAAAAC
rnacentral:rRNA from 1 species